CUUUCUUGACUCCGGAGACUUGUGAUGGGGCAUGGCUUGAGGCAGCAGACAUAGAAUAAGUCUGAAGAUCUCAGUUUACUGCUUGCUCAUAGCUUCCAGAUACUAAGCAGAUUUCCAGAUUUAAUUCCAUCACGGGAUCACUGAGGGUACAGAAUUCCAAUCCACAACUUCCUAUGUAUUCAGCUGUGGUCUUCCUGUCCCUAACUUUUCCUCUGCAAUGUGAAAACACCACAAUCUAAG
ensembl:lncRNA